CCUACGGGAGGCAGCAGUGGGGAAUAUUGGACAAUGGGGGCAACCCUGAUCCAGCCAUGCCGCGUGUGUGAAGAAGGCCCUCGGGUUGUAAAGCACUUUCAGUGAGGAAGAACGCCUGGUGGUUAAUACCCAUCAGGAAAGACAUCACUCACAGAAGAAGCACCGGCUAACUCCGUGCCAGCAGCCGCGGUAAUACGGAUGGUGCGAGCGUUAAUCGGAAUUACUGGGCGUAAAGCGCGCGUAGGUGGCUUGAUAAGCCGGUUGUGAAAGCCCCGGGCUCAACCUGGGAACGGCAUCCGGAACUGUCAAGCUAGAGUGCAGGAGAGGAAGGUAGAAUUCCCGGUGUAGCGGUGAAAUGCGUAGAGAUCGGGAGGAAUACCAGUGGCGAAGGCGGCCUUCUGGACUGACACUGACACUGAGGUGCGAAAGCGUGGGUAGCAAACAGGAUUAGAUACCCUUGUAGUC
rnacentral:rRNA from 1 species